UGGAGGGCGAGUGGUACAAGAGCAGUUUUAUUGGAAGGGAAGGGAGGGAUAAAGAGACAGAGGGGAAGAGAGAGGGAGAGUGUGUGUGAGAGUGAGAGGUACAGUGAGAGGGCGGGAGAUAGAGCAGCUGGAAGCAGGAGAGAAAAUCCCGGCCCAGCCUCUGCAACCAUAAUUUUUCACAUCGGAUUUAAUCCGUUCUCGUCGCGACCAACAAUUCACGCUGAGAGUUUCGCCACUGAAGAUACUUCAUGCUGAACUGAACCUGGUCCAGUGCUGUCCCCAGCUCUCCAUUGCGCAAUCCCCCUUCAACCCAAUUUGCUGAACCUUUGUCUGUCUGGUAAGAACAAUAUUAAUAUAUUACUAUGUCUAAUCAAUGAGGCACGAGGGAGUGCGGUUUAGGACCACAGGUUACUACUAGAGCUUAACACUAUUCAAUCCCUACAAUUAUACUCACCAACUACUCCAACAGCCACUACACUAGUAAUGCUCAACUACUACAAAAACAAUCACUAUACUACUACAAUUCUACUUACAUACUACUCCAAAAGUAACAAUACUACUGUAGUUAUAUACCUUCUGCUCCAGCCCUCACUACACUACUACAAUUAACCUCACCUACUACUCCAACAGUCACUACAAUAUUACUCCCGAUUUAUUACUACAAUUAGUCUCGGCUCCUACUCCAACCUUAACUUAACUAAUACAACUAUACUCACCUACUACUCCAACAGUAGUAUUUUGAGUUUUACAAAACAAACAUGUUUCAACUAAAGAUUCACCGGCUCAGCUUGAGAAACCCACGGAGGUCAGGUAAACCCACGGAGGUCAGGUAAACCCACGGAGGUCAGGUAAACCCACGGAGGUCAGGUAAACCCACGGAGGUCAGGUAAACCCACGGAGGUCAGGUUAACGGUGAGAGAAAUAACUAGAAGAUGCAGAGGGAACAGAUCAAGCAAUGAGACUUCUAUCUUCCGUUUGAUCGCCCCGAUACAAGGAAGGCGGAGCGAUCAUCUUCAUAGUGCACUGAAUGCACAUUCAUUAGACCAGAUUUAGGAUUAAUCCUGCUCUUGUAAUUAGACUGACUGUGACUGCAGCCAGAGAACAAGGUGAACG
rnacentral:lncRNA from 1 species